UGAGAAGCAAAAUGUCUUCAAAGAAAAAAAACAAGGAAGUCCAGUUGCCUCCUGAAAAAGCCCCUUUGGGAAAAGGUAGAACUAUUUCUAAUCAUGGAGAAGAGGAACCAACAAAUUCACAAGCAUAGAUAAGACCAGAGUAAUGUCCUCUGCCCUCAAAAGAUGAAGAAUCCACUUUCCUAAGCAGUGUCAGGAAACAAAAUCAUAAUCUAAUUUGACAACAACUUCAAAUGUAUACAAAUUAAAUGGAAAUUCAUGAUACAGCUAAUGAUAUUCCUUAUAACUAAAUAAGUAACUAAAUGAAUUGUAAAUCAGGUAUCUACAUUUGGCAAGGGCAAUUAAAUAAGAGAAUUAAUCAGAAUUCAAAUUUUUAAUUGGUAAACAAUCUGAAAUUUUGACAUCAAAAUAUGGAAAACAGAAAUUCAUAUAGUAGUUGAUGAUACUACAUCCUCGAGAUAUACUUCAAAAUGUAUUAUAAUUAGAGGAGAGUUGAUUAAAUUAUGAAUCACAUGUAUGAAUAAAUCAAUCAGUCUUGUACUCUAAGUAAUUUGAGGCAGAUAAUUGAUGGCAUCGUUUAUCAUGGACAGGAUCCAAACAACAUAUGCCAAAAUUGUUUUUUGAAAAAUGUAUUAUUUUUUCUUUCCUCUUGGAAUGCGAGAUCAUUAUGAUAUAUCAUAUACAAUUCCUAAUAGUAAUCUAGUUUCUAGUCUCAAUAACUUAGAGAUUCUCUUUAUGAAAUAUAUGUAUUUAUCUAUUCAUUUAUUUAUAUCCUGCCUUUAUUAUUUUCACAGAUAACUCAAGGUGGCAAAUAUAUCCAACACCUUCCUCCUAUUUUCCCCACAAGAACCACCCUGCAGUUGGGUUUUGGGAUCUGGCUGUACAUGUCACACCCCAACAAUGCAAUUUGUUUUGACUAGUUUGGAUCAACUUCAACUCAGACAUGGAGAUUUCCAAGUGGCAACUUGUGGAUCUGAAGACCUAAUUCCUGCCUACCUUGAGGACAAAGUAGAUUUCUAUUGUUUUGAAGUUUCCCUUUUGCAGUUCCAUGUGAGUUUCAGAGUCCUCUGAUAACUAAGUGUGAGUUUAGGUUGCUGUACAGAUGAAGAGUCCCUGAACUGUUGUUGUCUUAAUGGUGAAGAAGUUCCAAGAACUCACAGCUAGCAAUUUUUCCAAUAUCUUUGAAUGGCACUCAGUUGUAGAAGAUUGAUAAGCAGGCCUUUUUUUGAAGCACUCCUGUCUAAAAAGAGAGAGAUCAGCUGCCUUCCACCUUCAGGCAAGUGGUUUUCCUAUUCCUUUGUCCUUCUGAUUGGUCCUUAAUACAGAUGUGAGGGCAUCCUUUUCAGAUUCCAGCCAUGGCACCUUAAAUACAGUAGUUGUCUAUUUACACUGUAUAAAUAUGUGUAUGGAGAUUCCAGUCAUGAAAACAACCAC